rnacentral:tRNA from 1 species
UCCCCCAUAGCUCAAUUGGCAGAGCUUCCGACUGUUAAUCGGACGGUUACUGGUUCGAGUCCAGUUGGGGGAGCCG